UGCGGAACAUUCUGAGGGUAC
rnacentral:siRNA from 1 species